GGCUGCUGUUUGGUACUCAGGACCUCCCCCAACUUAGGACCAGACACAGAUCCUGAGCUCUGAGACCUGGGACUUGAACUAUGAGACUGCUGCCACGGAUAGCUUUUCUCCUGACUUUGGGCACACUGGGAGACGCUAAGACCACACAGCCCACUUCAAUGGAGAGCACUGAGGAAGAGCCUGUGGCCUUGCCCUGUGACCACGCCACAAUCAGUGGAAAUGAGUACAUAUAUUGGUAUCGACGGAUUCCCCACCGGGGUCCCAGUACCUGAUUCACGGUCUGAAAAGCAAUGUGACCAACAGGAUGGCCUCUCUGAGCAUCGCAAUAGACAGAAAGUCCAGCACCUUGGUCCUGCCCCGGGUCACCCUGAGAGACAGCGCUGUGUACUACUGCACCCUGAGAGAGGCACAGCAGGACCGACGGGGCUGCACCUGCGCAAUAUGUCCUUGGUGAGGAAGGGAAGCAGCAGCAGCCAUGUAAAGAGUGCACUGCACAAGAAUGAGCAGAAGCCAAAGAGAAGAAGGAAAGAAAAGGAGAAAAAAGGAAAAGGAAAGAGAAGACAGUGAGGCCAUCCAGAAGGAAAGAAUGAAAGGAGCAAAGAGGAUGAAAAAGGAGAGCUUACAUUGUAGAAGGAACUAAAAUGCCUGCAAGGAAACUCGUGCCCAUCCUCAUCCCAGCACCUGUGACUGUCUUCUAAGUGAUGCACACAUUUUAGAAGAUUCCAGGGGAAUGUUCCCUUCAGAAGUUAAAAAAAGACAUUUCCAUAUGAACUCAGAUUGAGAAAAUCCUUUGCUAGAAGAUCUAGGAGAUAUUGGUCAAAGGGUAGAAAGUUUCAGUUAUGCAAGAUGAGUAAAUUCAUAAACCCUGGAGAUCUACUGUACACACUGUGCCUACAGUUAAUGAUAUGGUAUUGUAUACUUUAAAUUUUUCAAGAGAGUAUAUUUUACGUUAGUUCUUAUCACCAGAAAUCAAAAAUAAUCAUUUUAAAUUAGAGCAGGAAAAACCUUUGGAUGUGAUCAAUAUGUUUAUGGCAUUGCUCAGGCUCAUGGCAUACUUUUCUUUCAAGUUAUCAGCUUGAAUACGUUAUAUAUGUACAGCAUUUCAUAUGGCACUCGUGCCUCAAUAAA